GGCUGACGGCUGCAGUACGUGAUCUUAGCGGUUUCCAACCUUAACGGUCCUAUGAUUCUAUACUGAAGUUACAUGCAGCAAAAAUAUCAAAGCCCUUCGUCCCGCCCAGGUGUGAAAGCAGCUAUCAGAUUACAGAAGAUGACACAAUUCUCAGAAUAGCAGAUUGCAGCAGGUUACAGAACGACGGUGUACCACGAGAAGUUAAACGGAUCAGGCAUCACUGCUUUGGGUACGAACAGAACUGCAACCAGACCAAGAAAUGAAGGCCAAGACCUUGGGGAUCUUUCUUCUCAGCAGCAGUAAGAGACAACUCUACUACUCCCUCAUAGAAACGCAC